UUUCCCCCGGUUGUUGGGUCGCUCGGCGGCCGCUGCCGGGACCGGCCGCUGUGCGGGGAUGUCGGAGCCGCCUCUUCUCAGUCAGUUCGUGAAGGUAACCGGGAGGCCGCAGGCCGGGCCGCCAGGAUCUAAGAAGAAAGUCAGAUGGUUUCCCGUUAGGAGACUCUUCGCCCAACCCUGCCCCAGUCUCAGGAUCCCAUACAGGUUUUUAAAGACAGGUCACAUAUCUCCACCUGCUCGAAGUGGGCAUCGCUGUGUUGCAGAUAAUUCAAGCCUUUAUGUGUUUGGCGGCUAUAACCCUGACUUUGAGGAGUCGGGAGGACCGGGUAAUGAAGACUACCCACUGUUCCGUGAACUCUGGCGAUAUCAUUUUGCCUCUGGCACCUGGCAGCAAGUGGGUACGGAAGGAUUCAUGCCCAGGGAGCUGGCAUCCAUGUCAGUUGUUUUACAUGGUAAUAACUUGCUGGUGUUUGGAGGCACUGGCGUCCCCUUUGGCGAGAGCAGUGGGAAUGAUGUCCAUGUGUGCAACGUUAAUUACAAGCGAUGGGCACUACUCAACUGUCGAGGGAAGAAACCCAACCGCAUAUACGGGCAGGCGAUGGUGAUCAUAAAUGGCUACCUGUAUAUAUUUGGUGGGACGACUGGUUAUGUUUACAACACAGAUUUGCACCGAUUAGACCUUACAGCUCGGGAAUGGAUACAGCUAAAACCAAAUAACCCUCCUAGUGAUUUACCCGAAGAAAGGUACCGACAUGAAAUUGCACAUGACGGACAAAGGAUAUACAUAUUAGGAGGGGGAACAUCGUGGACAACGUAUCCGCUGGAUAAGAUACAUGCAUAUAACCUGGAGACUAAUACAUGGGAGGAGAUGCAAACAAAACCACAGGAGAGAACAGGUUUUCCUGCAGCCAGAAGAUGUCAUAGCUGUGUACAAAUAGGGCAUGAUGUCUAUGUGUGUGGUGGAUAUAAUGGUGAGGUAAUACUUGGGGACCUCUGGAAGCUUAAUUUACAGACUUUCCAAUGGACUAAAUUGCCUGCAGAAAUGCCAGAGCCAGCUUACUUCCACUGUGCAGCUGUAACCCCGGCUGGCUGCAUGUAUGUACACGGUGGAGUGGUCAACAUCCACGAGAACAAACGGACUGAUUCACUCUACAAAAUCUGGCUGGUGGUACCCAGCCUAUUUGAACUUUGUUGGGAGAGACUGCUGAAGAGUCUCCCACGCCUAACACAAUUCUCCACCACUCAGCUGCUCAAUCUUGGACUCACGCAAGGACUUGUGGAGAGGCUGAAGUGACUGCCAGAGGGAAGGAGGUAGAGAGAGAGAGACACGGAUUCUGCAAUAUGGGUGAUGGGCAGUGUUGGAGGAAGCUGCUGGGAAGAAUACUCCUCAAAGCCUUAUCUGCCAUAAGUGUUAGGUGUCUCAGCUACAUUUUUUUAAAGAUAUCCUGUCACUUGGUUACAUCAAGUGACAUGGACUAACCCCCUCACCUCACCCCCACCAUCGCAGCCCCUCCUCACAAGUCAAGUGGAGUCCACUUUACAAUGUUGUUUUUAAACUCUUGCCCUGAGCAGGCUUGUCCCUGACUCUGGGAUAGCCCUGGUUCCGAGAUGCAGGUCAGUCAGCCUCUGAAAGGGGCUGUUUUCAGACUCUGUGCCAUCAUUAUCUCCCAACACCUGCAAGCCUCAACAUUUUUUGUCAGUUUCUUUUUCACCUCAAUUUAAAUGCAAUAUUUAAAAAAAAAAAAAAAAUUUUCCUCCCUAAAGCCAAUUUCUUCCAUGAAUCGCAAGUUUAUGUAGGGCUGAUUGUCUCACCUGAAACAGCAGCCUUUUUUUUUUUUAAUUCUCCCCUUCACAUUGAUGACAGACCUGCAGUGCAUGUCCAGUAUUUUCUGUUUUUCUUUUGGAUUUGAAGCAUUUUUGGGUUUUUUCCUCUUAAUCCCUUUUUAGUUGGAGUAUCUGCUUCUCCAUCCUCACUGCACCCCAUUUAAAUCUUCCUCCCAUCAAGAGCCAAAAGCCCAGCAAGUGGUUGCCUUAAAACGCUGUUUUAAUCACCUUGUGCCAUCCUAGGAACCAUCAGCUCAAUUAACUUGUUUCUAAGUAUAAACACAGAUCUCUGGAAGCACUCAAUGGGUGAGAAAACAUCUGAAGGAACUGAAAUAAGUUUGACUUUAAUUAGAAAGGUCAUUGACCUGAAAUGCUAACACUUUCUCUCUCCACAGAUGCUGCCUAGCCUUGACUGUUUCCAGGAUUUUCUGCAUCUGCAAUAUUUUGCUUUAAUUGCCUUGAACCUGCCUAAUGGGGGAAGAGUAUCAUUAGCACCGCACAGAUAUUACUGUACAAAGUAAAAAGGCACUGACUGAAAGUGCAGUUUGAGAGAACUAAUUUGGCAUUAGCCACAGCCCAAACAGCCUAGUGCAAACUGUUCUUGGAAAGGUGGAGCAAACUGAGUUAGUAGUGAGACAAGUGACUGAAGGAUAUUGCAAACACUGCUUCAAUGACAGGGACACUGAAGCUCUCCCUGCCAUCACUGCUCACUUCCAUUUAGAUUAUUUCUGAAUUCAAAUUUAACCACAAACCCAACUUUAGAAGACGCUGCUGAAAAUUGCUCAUUGUGGGCUUCAUAUUAUUCCAGAAUCUGCAGUAAUAUGUAUAUUUAGUUUAUUACUAAAAUAUAUAACAUUUGAGUUCAUGUGAACAUAUGAAUUAGGAGUAGCAGGCCAUUUGACCCCUUGAGCCUGCUCCACCAUUUGAUAUCAUAGCUGAUCUGAUUGUGGCCUUAACUCCAUUUUCCUGUCUACCCCCAAGAAUCCUUUGACUCCCUUGUUAGUUAAGAAUCUAAUUCAGCCUUAAAAAUGUUCAAUGACUCUGACUCCACCCCUGCUUGGAGAAUUCCAUAGGCUUACAACUCUCAAACUUUUCAGCUGUCUUAAAUGGGACACCCUUUAUUUAAGCUGUCCCCUAGUUCUAACCUUUUCCCGCAAGGAGAAACAUCCUUUCUGUAUCCACUCUGUCACGUCCCCUCAUCCUUUUGUUUCAAUAAGAUUGGAGUUUAAAAGAAUGAGAGGCAAUGAGUGUAAACCCAACCAUUCCUCAAAAUAAGCCCCUUCAUCCCAGAAAUCAGCUAAGUGAACUUUCUCUGAACUGUUAAUACAAUUAUGUCCUUAAAUAGGAAGACCAAGACUGUACAGUACUUGAGGCUGUGUACAACUUAGUAAAAAUCCCUUUUUUUAACAAGGGAAAUGGAAUAUAAACAACAUUCAAUUUGCCUUCCUGAUCACUUCCUGAAUUUUUUGGACUUGUCCCUCUGGACUGAAGAGUUUUGCAGUCUCUCCAUUUAAAUAAUUAAUUCCUAUUAAAGUGGAUAAAUUUGUACUAGAGUCCACAAAGGGAUGUAGAUUAUGUUCUCUUCACACCUUACUUUCCUACCUUUGUCAUCUGCAAAUUUAGCAGCUAUACAUUCAUUACCUUCAAGUUAUUGAUAAAUUGUAAAUAGGGGAGAGGAGGGCAAGACUGAUUGCACCCUGCUCCUUCAAGCCCUGGCUACAAUGAUCGCAUGGCCGGGAAUGAGAACUUUUCAAAUCCUUUUGCUAACUAUAGGCCAGAUGACCUUUUUCUGUGCUAUGAACCUGUAACCUAGUGGAAUAUCCACUUCCCUGCUCCCUGAUUGAGGUCUGUAGGCACCUUCAUUAUUUACAUAGAAUCAGAUUCUCUCAGCACAAAAGCAAGGACAUUUAACCCAUCGUGGUGGCGUUGGCUCUGAGCUAAAUAAUUAGUCUUAUUUUCCUGCUCAUUCCCCGUGGCCCUGGAAAAAUUUAACCCUUUUUUUCCUAACAUAACCAUCUCCCUAAAUUUCUAUUAAUGAUUUAUUCCAAACCACUUAAUAUGGUAUAAACCAGGUUCCACAUUUGUUAGAAUAGAAAAUGCUGGAAAAACUCAGCAGGUCUGACUGCACCUGUGGAGAGAGAAACAGCAUUAACGUUGAGCCUGUA